rnacentral:rRNA from 1 species
CCUACGGGUGGCAGCAGUGAGGAAUAUUGGUCAAUGGGCGCGAGCCUGAACCAGCCAAGUAGCGUGAAGGAUGAAUGCCCUACGGGUUGUAAACUUCUUUUAUAAAGGAAUAAAGUGAGGCACGUGUGCCCUUUUGUAUGUACUUUAUGAAUAAGGAUCGGCUAACUCCGUGCCAGCAGCCGCGGUAAUACGGAGGAUCCGAGCGUUAUCCGGAUUUAUUGGGUUUAAAGGGAGCGUAGAGGGUGUGUUAAGUCAGUUGUGAAAGUUUGCGGCUCAACCGUAAAAUUGCAAUUGAUACUGGCAGCCUGGAGUAGAGUUGAGGUAGGCGGAAUUCGUGGUGUAGCGGUGAAAUGCAUAGAUAUCACGAAGAACUCCGAGUGCGAAGGCAGCAUACUAAACUGACACUGACACUGAGGCUCGAAAGUGUGGGUAUCAAACAGGAUUAGAUACCCGGGUAGUC